rnacentral:sRNA from 1 species
ACGUUUUUUUCAUAGAGAUUUAGAUUUAAGGUUAGAAAAAAUGUGGAAGUCGUGAGACUUCCCCUUUUUUCAUCUUUAAGGUUUACCCCUUCGCUAUACAAGAGGGAGGCAAACAAGAAAAGCCGCUUCGAGAGAAGGGGCUUUUUU